rnacentral:lncRNA from 1 species
GGACCAGCGCUGCGUGGGGCGCUCCGAGUGCGCAGCUGUGUGCGGGACGCUGGGGAGAGCGCUUGUGGCCGGCUGUGGAGUCUGAGACGCGUACCUGGAUUGGAUGCCUGAACCCGUGGUGAAUGGGACUCCCUUCCCCAUUGGUUCUUUUCAUUGUACCACUCGGAGACAGGUGGAGUUGAGCUGGACCGAGGAGAAAAGCUGUGAAUGUGAAAUUAUGCUCUUGCCUUUAAAAAGAGUACUAGUCACAUCGCUGAAUAAUCCACCCUCAACCUUAAUUAGCAGAAUUGCCGGAGAUAUAUUUAAUAUUUGUAUUGACCAGACAUACUUGACAAAGAGGUUAGUAUUUUUUUUCUUUGUACCUCUAACGCCCAAAGAUAAACCUGACAUCGAAGUACUCAAUCUUUAUUGGAUUUAAUGAGCUAUUUUAAGGUGCUCCAUGUUUAAAUGCUUCCUCUGUUAAGAUACAAGAGCCCAGAGAAUAUUUUCAUUACCGUAUCUACACCAAAUACUCAACGUAAUGAAACAAAUUAAGGAUAUCAAAGUCAUGUACUAUAUAUCCUGAAAUCUAAAAGACUUAGCCAGGAGCCCAGUAGCUGGAUGCAUCAGGUUCUGGACAAUUAAAUGUCAAAAGCUGACAUCUUGGACCCACAGGUUGUCUUCGCCAGCAUUGAGUAAUGUUGGGGGUGUGCCUCAACCUGUUUGAACUCCAUCUCCUCAUCUGCAGAGCAAGUCCUUCCGAAGGACCAACCUCUCAGGGUUCUUGCCCAGUAAGUCGAGUAAAACAAAUAAAGCACUCAGCACAGUCACUGUCAUGGUGGCUUGUUAUUGUGAUGCCUCCAAGUGUGGCCUCUUUUGGACAAGAGGGUAAGAUGGAGUUCUAGAAGAGUUUGUGUAAUGCACGGUUUAGCAGAACUUAAAUUUUUCCACAUUUGGGGACUGAGAUUCUGCAUAUCCUACUUUCUGAUUGGAGACACAAUUGCUUUCAAAAAAAAAAAAACAAAAACAAAAAACAAACAAAAAAAACAGAAUUGAGUUCUCUAUGAGCAAAACAUGUAAUAAAAAGAGGGGUGUGUGUGUGUGUGUGUGUGUGUGUGUGUGUGUGUGUGUGUGUGUGUAUUGGCUCAGAGUCCCCUGUAUCUGUCAUCUCCUCUGCUUUAAGAUAAAGCAGUCAAGGCAAUGAAUAUCCUAGUAAGAGCACCAGUGGAAGGGGAAGCCCUGGGUCCUGCUAAGACUGAACCCCCAGUGAACUAGAC